GGUGAGUAAUGUAUGGGGAUCUGCCCGAUAGAGGGGGGAUAACUACUGGAAACGGUGGCUAAUACCGCAUAAUGUCUACGGACCAAAGCAGGGGCUCUUCGGACCUUGCACUAUCGGAUGAACCCAUAUGGGAUUAGCUAGUAGGUGGGGUAAAGGGCUCACCUAGGCGACGAUCUCUAGCUGGUCUGAGAGGAUGAUCAGCCACACUGGGACUGAGACACGGCCCAGACUCCUACGGGAGGCAGCAUG
rnacentral:rRNA from 1 species